rnacentral:rRNA from 1 species
GAUGAACGCUGGCGGCGUGCCUAAUACAUGCAAGUCGAACGAACGGACGAGAAGCUUGCUUCUCUGAUGUUAGCGGCGGACGGGUGAGUAACACGUGGAUAACCUACCUAUAAGACUUGGAUAACUUCGGGAAACCGUAUCUAAUACCGGAUGAUAUUUUGCACCGCAUUGUUCAAGAGUGAAAGACGGUCUUGCUGUCGCUUAUAGAUGGAUCCGCGCUGCAUUAGCUAGUUGGUAAGGUAACGGCUUACCAAGGCAACGAUGCAUAGCCGACCUGAGAGGGUGAUCGGACACACUGGAACUGAGACACGGUCCAGACUCCUACGGGAGGACGCAGUAGGGAAUCUUCCGCAAUGGGCGAAAGCCUGACAGAGCAAAGUCGCGUGAGUGAUGAAGGUGUUCGGAUCGUAAAACGCUGUUAUUAGGGAAGAACAAAUGUGUAAGUAACUGUGAACAUCUUGACAGUACCUAAUCAGAAAGCCACGGCUAACUACGUG